GGACAGGUGUCCGAGUGGUUUAAGGAGCUGGUCUUGAAAACCAGUGAUACGGCAACGUACCGUGGGUUCGAAUCCCACCCUGUCCG
rnacentral:tRNA from 3 species